ACGCCGCGGUGAAUACGUUCCCGGGCCUUGUACACACCGCCCGUCACACCAUGGAAGUCUGCAAUGCCCGAAGCCGGUGGCCUAACCACUUAUGUGGAAGGAGCCGUCUAAGGCAGGGCAGAUGACUGGGGUGAAGUCGUAACAAGGUACC
rnacentral:rRNA from 1 species